GGCCUCGUGGCCUAAUGGCUAGGGCGCUAGAUUUCGGUGCUUUUCAAAAGCUGAAACCUCUAGAGAUUGUCGGUUCGAGUCCGGCCGAGGUCG